AGAGUUUGAUCCUGGCUCAGAAUGAACGCUGGCGGCGUGCUUAACACAUGCAAGUCGAACGGUAACAGGGACUUCGGUCUGCUGACGAGUGGCGCACGGGUGAGUAAUAUAUAGGUAAUGUAUCCCUUAGUCUGGGAUAGCCACUGGAAACGGUGAUUAAUACCAGAUACUCCUUCUGAUUUAAUGUCAGAUGGGAAAGUUUUUCGCUAAGGGAUCGGCCUAUAUUGUAUCAGCUAGUUGGUGAGGUAAUGGCUCACCAAGGCGAUGACACAUAGCGGGUUUGAGAGGAUGAUCCGCCACACUGGUACUGAGACACGGACCAGACUCCUACGGGAGGCAGCAGUGAGGAAUAUUGCACAAUGGGGGGAACCCUGAUGCAGCAACGCCGCGUGGAGGAUGACGCAUUUCGGUGUGUAAACUCCUUUUAUCAGAGAAGAAAAUGACGGUAUCUGAUGAAUAAGCUCCGGCUAACUCCGUGCCAGCAGCCGCGGUAAUACGGAGGGAGCAAGCGUUAUUCGGAAUCACUGGGCGUAAAGGACGCGUAGGCGGGUUUUUAAGUCAGGUGUGAAAUCCUAUGGCUCAACAUAGAACUGCACUUGAAACUGGGAACUAAGUAUGGAAGGGCAGUGGAAUUAUGGUGUAGGGUAAAUC
rnacentral:rRNA from 1 species